GCGGAGGCUGGAGGGGGCCCGCGCCGCCAGCUCCGGCGACAGGCAGCCUCCGUCUCCCACUUGCGUGCGUGGACAGGGCCUGGACCAAAACAAUCCGCAGCGGAAUUACAGCCGUACACAUGGCUUCGUUAUGCAAAGAGUGAUCAUUACUUUGGGGUCUUGGAUGUGAAGAAUGUGUGGGGGGGCCCCAAGCCCUUUUUUCAACAGGUUUAAACCUAUAAAUAAGGACAGAAAACUGGACAAGGCUGUUAAAGAAACACCGCUGAUACAAGACUUUGGCAUCAUGGGAAGCAACGACAUGACUUAUCAAGUGUUAUCCCUGAAGAAGAAACGUUGAAGGGGACCAAGAAAUUUCCCUCUGAAUCAGCGACAGCUGGAAGCAAGGGUAUUAGACACUUCGAUUUGGAGCAGCCCAGCACAUCCAAUUCCACUGUUACACAGAACCAACUGUCUUUAAAGAGGGCCAAAAAAUCUACCACUGAAACAGCAGCGGUUGGGAGCAAGGGGGUUAGACCCCCCCGAUUUUGAACCGCCCUGCACCACCAGGGCCAAAAGAUCUACCUCUGCAGCUUCCAGGGACACUGGUUAAGCGAUCCAAAGGGAUUAAAACCCCUAGUUCUCAACAACCCCAAGCCUUUACAGCCCCGAAGGAACCAGCUUUAAAAAGGGUAAAGGCAAACAAUCCUGUAGCAGCCGCUGUGUCGAGCGGUGGGUUUGAGCAGAGUCAAGAGGCCAGCCCCCCGGCUUCUGGGCAAAGCAGAACCUCUGCUACAAAUAAGAACCGCCCCGUAGGCCUUGCAGCAUCAGUUGUUGUUUGUAAUGAGCUGUUUAGUGUUUGUACGUCUCCUAAGCGUUUAAUAGAUAAAAAGUUUUCGAAGCUAAUUCUUGAGGUGUUUCAAAAGCAAAAUGCUCCAGAAGAAAGGGUGGUUUGGGACCAAAAGAUAACAGAGACCCGUGCACUGCUUGAAAAGUUGGAAAGCAUGUUAAAGGGGGAAGGGAGGGUGAGACUAAACCUGAAACCUAAAAACAUAAAGAGGGGUUGGAGGAAAAAAUGGAAGAGAUCUAAAAAAUUGAGGAGGCUUUUGGCGAAAAAACUUAAAAAAGCCAGAGUUAUUUUAAGAAAACAAUCCCCCAACCAAGAAAGGGAAAUAGACAUAGACUCCCCGACCCCCUCUUCUGAAGGUCCAGAUUCUCCCGCUCCUAAUAUACCACCUCCGGUGUAUUUGGAACAUGUAAGACACUGGAUAAGACCCUGAAGAGAGUUUAACGCUUAUGAAUAUUUUCAAGAAUUUUGUUUCGCUAAUUUGGGCAGAGUAAUGGGGUUUACAGAGGCCAUGGCGGCCGUUGACACCGCUAUUCAAAAUUUGCUAGGUGAUAUUAAUAAUCAGGUGGGCCCUGAAGAUUUUGUACAGCUAAGCUUAGAUGCCCCGGGGCUAAAUCACCCUCUCUUUUCUUUACAGAAGCCUUGGGAAGAUUUAAACACCGUAGAUUUUUUAAAUAACAUCAUUACGGUGUUGCAAAGUAACGCUGAGAUUGUGGGGUCUGGAACUCUAAGGCUGGUUGUUACAAUUAUUAGAAACAGGGCUGGUGGAGGUGGGGUUGUAAGACCCUUGAAAACUAUCACAUACAGUAAAAUCAUCGGGAAAAAAAGAAAACAUUUAAUUGAUUUAAAUAACCAAGGUAACAAUCUGUGUUUUGCUGGGUCUUUUAUCAGAUGAAAAACUUACAGAUGCCCAACUGUUAGAAGGGGCCGGACAUUUCCAUCAGGAGUUGGGGUUUUCGGACCAAAAACCGAUUAGCUUUACAGACAUGAGCUCUUUUGAAGAGCGCUUAGGCGCGGCUAUUACCGUUAUGUAUCAUGAAAAUGGAAAUUGGCGCUUUUUUUACAACAGCUGGUGUACAACGCCCCAAAACUGUUUUUGUUCUGUUACAUGACAAACAUUAUUGUGGCAUCCUAAAUAUUAAAGCCUUUAUAGGCGCGCCGUAUUUGUGCAGUUGCUGUUACGCCACGUGCAGCCACAAACAUCAGCACGCCUGUAAAAAUCACUGUCAUGUGUGUAAUAGCGCUGAGUGCCUUGAAGUGGCCACUGAAAAAAAGAGAUGCCCCAGUUGCAAGCUAUUUUGCAGGUCUGAGGCCUGUUUAGAAAGGCACAGCGCUCUGGCAAAAGAUCGUAAAGUUGAUUGUAAAAACAAAAGUCUUUGUGAUAAGUGCGGCUUCUACGAGGUUAAAAAUCACAGGUGUAAAAGCAAAAAAUGUCCCCAGUGCUAUCAGAAGACCGACAACAUAGAGGGUCACGAAUGUUCUAUGCGUAAUAUUUGGUCUCCAGAAGUGGGGAAGGAUUAUGUGUUUUAUGAUUUUGAAUGCAUGCAAGAAAUGGGGGUACACGUGCCAAAGUCUGUUUAUGCCUUGCACCUAGAUAAAGAAACCAGCUGGGAAUUUAAGGGUAAGAAUGCAUUGAGUUUGUUCAAACCUUUGCAGACAAACGUUUUAAGGGAUACACAUUUAUCACUCAUAACGCUAAAGGUUACGAUUGUUAUUUUAUCCUUAGACAGUUGAUUAAAGAAAAAAAUGGCCUUCAGCCCCAUAACGCAAGGGGGGAAACUAAUGUGCGUAACGGUGGUGGACUUAGUCAUCAGAUUUAUAGGUUCUUUAAAUUUUCUUCUCAUGAAACUUAAGAAGUUACCCAAAGCUAUGGGGUUUGAGGAAGUCAAGGGGUACUUUCCACAAUUUUUUAACACAGUUGAAAAUCAGAACUAUGUAGGGCCUAUGCCCGGGAUAAAGUACUUUGGAGUAGAAUACAUGAUGCCUGAAGAAAAAAGGAAUUUCUGAACUGGUACCAACACAAUCGCCAGAACAAAUUCGAUCUCCAGAAAGAACUGCGCUAUUAUUGUCAAAAAGAUGUUGAAAUUUUGCAAGAGGCUUGCGACCGGUUCAGAAAUGAAGUCAUAAAAAUGACAGAGAAGCAGAUUGUUAAAAGCCCAGGACAGGAUGAUGAGGAGGUAGUCACUGAGUGUAUAGACCCCUUUCAGUACCAUACGUUAGCCUCGAUUUGCAUGGCCAUGUACCGGUUUAAUUUUUUUAAAACCGCGAAUGAUAGCCCUUCUGCCAUUCUGCUGUUGCAAACCGAAUCUCCGCUUUUAGGUU